rnacentral:rRNA from 1 species
UACAGAGGCCCCAAGCGUUAAUCGGAAUCACUGGGCUUAAAGGGUGCGUAGGCGUUUCUGCAAGUGCCUUGUGAAAUCCCACGGCUCAACCGUGGAACUGCUUGGUAGACUGCAGAAAUUGAGGUUGGUAGAGGCGGCUGGAACGAAUGGUGGAGCGGUGAAAUGCGUAGAUAUCAUUCGGAACGCCAAAGGUGAAGACAGGUCGCUGGGCCAAUUCUGACGCUGAGGCACGAAAGCGUGGGGAG